GCUAAAGUAGUUUAAAGUUAGAAUAUUAGUUUGUGGGAUUAAUGGUAUAGUAUUGUAUGUAUCUUUAGCA
rnacentral:tRNA from 1 species